UAGUCCACGCCCUAAACGAUGCUAACUGGUUAUUUGUACAGGAUGCAAGUAACUGAGGGAAACCAUUAAGUUAGCCACCUGGGGAGUACGUUCGCAAGAAUGAAACUCAAAGGAAUUGACGGGGGUCCGCACAAGCAGUGGAGCAUGUGGUUUAAUUCGAUGAUACGCGAGGAACCUUACCUAGGCUCGAACGCUACUAGACGUAUGCUGAAAGGUAUAUUCUCUUCGGAGCUGGUAGUGAGGUGCUGCAUGGUUGUCGUCAGCUCGUGCCGUGAGGUGUUGGGUUAAGUCCCGCAACGAGCGCAACCCCUAUCUUUAGUUGCCAACAGGUAAUGCUGGGGACUCUAGAGAGACUGCCUCCGCAAGGAGUGAGGAAGGAAGGGACGACGUCAAAUCAUCGUGGCCUUUAUGCCUAGGGCUACACACGUGCUACAAUGGCGCAUACAGAGGGGAGCAAUACAGCGAUGUGGAGCGAAUCUCAGAAAGUGCGUCUCAGUUC
rnacentral:rRNA from 1 species